rnacentral:rRNA from 1 species
CCCUUAGAUGUUCUGGGCUGCACGCGUGCUACAAUGGCGUUUCCAGCAAGUCUGCGAACCCGAGAGGGCCAGCGGAUCUUCGAAUUGGCGUCGUGAUCGGGACAGUCGAUUGCAAUUAUUUGACUCAAACGAGGAAUUCCUUGUAAUCGCGAUUCAUCAUAUCGCGCUGAAUACGUCCCUGCCCUUUGUACACACCGCCCGUCGCUCCUACCGAUUGAGCGAUCCGGUAAAUGUUUUGGAUUGGUGCCGGGGCGGCUAGCUGCCGGUCGCUACGAAAUUUUGUGAACCUUGUCGCUUAGAGGAAGGAAAAGUCGUAACA